GACGAACGCUGGCGGCGUGCUUAACACAUGCAAGUCGAACGGAAAGGCCCGGCGUUUGUGGGGUGCUCGAGUGGCGAACGGGUGAGUAACACGUGAGUAACCUGCCCUUGACUUUGGGAGAACUUCAGGAAACUGGGGCGAAUACCGGAUAGGAGCUCCUGCUGCAUGGUGGGGGUUGGAAAGUGUCGGCGGUUGGGGAUGGACUCGCGGCUUAUCAGCUUGUUGGUGGGGUAGUGGCGUACCAAGGCUUUGACGGGUAGCCGGCCUGAGAGGGUGACCGGCCACAUUGGGACUGAGAUACGGCCCAGACUCCUACGGGAGGCAGCAGUGGGGAAUAUUGCACAAUGGGCGGAAGCCUGAUGCAGCAACGCCGCGUGCGGGAUGACGGCCUUCGGGUUGUAAACCGCUUUCGCCUGUGACGAAGCGUGAGUGACGGUAAUGGGUAAAGAAGCACCGGCUAACUACGUG
rnacentral:rRNA from 1 species